rnacentral:rRNA from 1 species
UACAGAGGUCUCAAGCGUUGUUCGGAUUCAUUGGGCGUAAAGGGUGCGUAGGCGGCGCGGUAAGUCGGGUGUGAAAUCUCGGAGCUUAACUCGGAAAGGUCAACUGAUACUGCGCGGCUAGAGUGCGGAAGGGGCAACUGGAAUUCUCGGUGUAGCGGUGAAAUGCGUAGAUAUCGAGAGGAACACCAAUGGCGAAGGCAGCUAUCUGGCUCGUAACUGACACUCAUGAGCGAAAGUGCGGGGAGCAAACAGG